rnacentral:tRNA from 1 species
AACUGGAUAGCCUAGUGGUCAAGGGCAGCACUUCUAGCAAUGAUGAGGUUCCAGGUUCAAAUCCUGGUCUGGUCA